UGGUCAACAAGGUUGCAGAACAGAGCUUGUUAUUUUUUAAACUAUCCAAUGUACUAAGUUACCAUGCCUCUUGAAAACGGUUCCUAGCUUCAAAUAAUGCUUUGCCACACAUCAUCCAGAGGUCCAUCACCUAGCCUCACCUAGCCACACAUUGCUGCCAUGGCUCAUGUUAACAGUUACCUUUCUAUUCUACUGCUAUUCUUCACUGAGGGGCUCUCUCAGUUGGUGAGAACACAGCAGGUUGUCACAGCAACCCUUGGAGAAGAUGCAGUCUUAACCUGUGAGCUCAUGACACCCAAAAACGUGCGGCAAGUCACCUGGCAAAAAGUGACAACUGGGGCGAAUGAAAAUGUGGCCACUUACAGCAAACGCGGUUCCAAUGUCAACCCACGUUUUCAAGGGAAAGUGGAGUUUGAAGACGAGGGACUGCAGAACUGCUCUAUCGUCAUCAGAGGAGUGUCAAGAGGAGACGAGUCCUGCUACAAGUGUCUGUUUAACACCUUUCCAGAAGGACCUAUCAGUGGAAGGACCUGCCUCCAUGUAAAUGAGCUGUAUGGACCCUCACUCCUCAUCACACAAACCAACAACAGUCACACCACUCUGUCCUGUUCUGCUACGGGACGACCUGCUCCUAUAGUGACCUGGGACAACACAGAAAUUAUAGAACAUUCCACAAUGGCCAAUGUCACCCAUCUCAAUGGAACUGUCACUGUCACCAUAACUUCCACACUGGCAGCAUUCAGUCUACCUGACAAAGACACCAGGGUUGGCUGUGUGGUGUCACUGUUCUCUGGAGGUGUCACCAAGAACGUUUCCAUGGUUAUUCCAGCUAGAACUCAAGCUUCAUUUCCUGGUGAGAAAUGGUUCAGUACAUGUCUACAGUAACAACCAACAUGCUGGUGUCAUUCUGAAGUACUGUCUCUGUAUGUUCUGUGCUAGGUGUACCUGAGGUCACUGAUGGUGACAGGAUCAGUGGUCAGUCAUUAAUAUAAUGACCACAACUAAUCUCUGACACCCUUAUCUGUGAAUUGUACCAUUCUCAUCUUGUCAUCUUUCACAGUUAAGCCAACAGUAAUUGUUGCAGUGAUGGGUUCACUGUGUUUCAUUGCUGUGUGCUGUGGAGCUGCUGUGGCACUGUGGUUUAAACUGAGAAAUACAAUGAGAAGCCCAAAUCCCACAGCCAAUGACAGGAAGUCAGGAGAACAGGAAGAACUAUCAACAGUCAACACUCAACCCUCAACAUGAUGGCUGAAAUCCAGAGGACUAAUCUAACAGUAAGACACAUUCUAAUUAACAGUAGGGUUUAUGGUUUCUAGUAAACAGUGUUUGUACUUACUGUAAGUAAGAAAUAGAUUAGAAAACACUUAAUUGUUUUUCAGCAUCAUAUGUCCUCCCUGGAGAAUAUGUAACUGUAAAUACCCACAAAGCAGUUAUAUCAGUACACUACUACAACAGAUGAUUUGACUCAUCAGUAUCAUUGAUGUUAAUGUCUUUCAGGACCACAACAAUCUCCAGUCCAUUCUAAAUGUAUUAGUACAACCUUAUUUGAACAUCCUGGUAGAGUGCUGGUCAUGGUGACUGAAAACAUGCAAAUGAGUUGCCUUUGUUGCAUUGCUCCAUUGUUGUUCCAGUAUGUUAUUUGUAUUUUUUAGGGAUCCCCAUUAGCUGCUUCUCUUCCUGGGGUCCAAACAUAUUAAAGUACUUACAUUACAUAUAAAACAAAAUAUAAAACAGUACAUCAAAUAACAUUAUUACACUACUACAUCUCUACAAUACAACAUGUUUAAUACCACCAUACAGCAAUAUCACAAUGUAUGCGUAUGCAUGUGUCUGUACCUUUGUGUGUCUCUUCACAGUCCCCGUUGUUCCAUAAGGUGUAAUUCUCCGUCCAGAUUGUCAGACCCUGGUGGCUUGUCACUGUUGAUAGACAACAAUAUUUUUUUUUACCUCUUCCAAACUGACUUUACAGAAUGCAAAAGCACUAUUCUUGUCUUUCAUAAUUUGGUCAGAUAUACUUGGAUGUGUAGUGUCAGCGUUUCCUGCUGGCAUGUCACACCUAAGUUUUCUUAUCUUGCCAAUGAAAAAGUCAUUCAAGUAGUUGGCAAUAUCAGCUGGUUUUGGGAUGAAUGAGCCAUCUGAUUCAAUGAAUGAUGGAGCUGAGUUUGCCUUUUUUCCCAAUAUUUUAUUUAAGAUGCUCCAAAGCUUUUUACUGUGAUUCUUUAUAUCAUUUAUUUUUGUUUCAUAGUGUAGUUUUAUUUUGUUUAGUCGUGAUUUCUUAAUUUGCAAAACGUUUGCCAAUCAGUUGGGCUGCCAGACCUUUUGCCUCAUCCCUCUCACCCAUACCAUUUUUAAAUUCCUCAGCAAUCCACAGGGAUUUAACAGUUUUUACAGUCAUUUUCUUAAUGGGUACGUGCUUAUUAGUAACUGGAAUAAGCAAUUUCAUAAAUGUGUCAAGUGCAGUGUCUGGUUGCUCCUCAUUACACAUCAAAGACCAGCAAAUAUUAUUUACCUCAUCAACAUAUGACUCACAACAAAACUUCUUGUAUGACGUCUUAUACACUAUUUUAGGCUCAUCCUUUGGAACUAUUCUAAAAUGGAUUAAAUAAAAGUGUAAUGAUCACUUUAAUUGUACUGUAUUUUAAACUCUCUGGUCAGUUCUGUUUGUUUUAGACCAUAGCUGUCAACACUUGACAGUUUUAACUUUCCUAUCUUAUAAAACUGUUAGAGGGUUAUGAGAACUGAGUGACUACCAUACUGUCUCACACACAUCUGUGUGGUUUAAAGACUGUUUCUAUCCAUAGGCAUUGUGGGUACUGAAUAGUGGACUGAAUGGCUGACACACAUCGGCCUGCUGUUUAUUUUAUACUUAAAUACCGUUUGUAAAUAUAUUUUGUAGUUGGUUAAUGAUGAAACAUGAUAAAUCCACACUAGACUUUUGUGUGGUUUUCAUAAUUCUUCACUUUUUUUUAUAAAUCAAAUGUUAGGUACUUUCUUGGUGUGUGUGGGUGGUUUUCUUAAUUCUUCACUUUUUCUUAAUCAAAUGCUGUAAGAUACACAAUGUUGUAAUGUACUUUGUUGUGUGUGUGUUUCUACUUUUAUAAAUAAAAUGUUUAAACAA